UUGUUCUAAUUAAGUCAUCGAAUCAUUUAAAUCAGUCACUCUAUUUUUAAAAUCUCUUGGGAAGUUUGGUUGUAAUAUAAUACCUGCAUAAUAAUUUCGAGUUGGCUGAUGAUUUCCAUUGUAAUUGUUAUACUGAUGGUAUGAUGAGGAUUGAAACCCUGCAUUAUUGGACUCUCGUCCUAGAUUGAACAGCAAUCGUUGUGCUCAAGGGUCCAGUAGGAGGAACCUGUUGCUGAUCUAUUUAAAUAAGUCUCCAGGCUUCUGACGUCGGGGUCCACAACAACAGCUACAACACCACCCACAAAAAAUGCAGCAGCAAAUAAGAGGCAAUAUAACCAAAAUGACAACUGCAGCCCCG